rnacentral:rRNA from 1 species
UAGGGAAUCUUCCGCAAUGGACGCAAGUCUGACGGAGCAACGCCGCGUGAGUGAAGAAGGAUUUCGGUUCGUAAAACUCUGUUGUUAGAGAAGAACAGCGCAUAGAGUAACUGUUAUGCGUGUGACGGUAUCUAACCAGAAAGCCACGGCUAACUACGUGCCAGCAGCCGCGGUAAUACGUAGGUGGCAAGCGUUGUCCGGAUUUAUUGGGCGUAAAGCGAGCGCAGGCGGUCAAUUAAGUCUGAUGUGAAAGCCCCCGGCUCAACCGGGGGGGGUCAUUGGAAACUGGUGGACUUGAGUGCAGAAGAGGAGGGUGGAAUUCCAUGUGUAGCGGUGAAGUGCGUAGAUAUAUGGAGGAACAACAGUGGCGAAGGCGACUCUCUGGUCUGUAACUGACGCUGAGGCUCGAAAGCGUGGGUAGCAAACAGG